rnacentral:lncRNA from 1 species
ACCAUCAUCUUCUUCAUCCUUCAUCUUCUUCCUUCAUUCCUUCAUGUUCUUCACCACUUCAUCAUUCAAGCCCAAAAUUUCAAAACAAAUCCAAAAAAAAUAAAUCUCAAAAUUGCAAAAAAUCUUAACUUUUAUCAAAAUCUCAAAUCAAUAUUCAGAAAAUCAAAACCCAUAAAAUCUAAAACUGAAAAGAAAAUAAAUUGGGAGUUUUAUGUAGAAAAUUUCUGGAAAUUAAACCCAAAAAUUUUCAACACAACAAGAACGAACAACAAGAACAACAACAACAAGAUGAACAACAACAACAACUUACUCUGAUUUAAGAACACGAUAGCAAGAUGAACAACAACAAGAACGAGAACAACAGAAAAUUGGGAGUAUUAACACAACAAUAACAACAUGAUUUGAUGAGUGACAAUGGUGAAUGAAACCCAACAAAUCUCAGAAAAUCAAAAACUCAAACCCAUUUGUUUACAAAACUCAAGAUGCAAGAUCUGAGUUGCUGAAAGAUGCAAAUUCAAUUGGAGAUCUAACCCCUUUUGUGACCAGUUUGUUUACUUUGUCCCCUUGAUUUAACAUCAAGGUACUUCACCAAAUUGUUUUCAUUCUGGUAGCAACAGAACAAAGACUUGCGUACUAUGGCUGCAAGUCUUUAGAUGAUUGAGUGGUUCACUAUCAUAUGUUAGUGGUUCACUAUUAGAUAUAAUAGACCAACAAGAUCUAAUGGUUUUAUUUUUGUC